rnacentral:lncRNA from 1 species
UUAUAUUGUUUUACAGUUUAUUUUUAAAAUGACAGUAACAAAUGCUGUUCCCUUGUUUGGGAACCAUGUAUUUAUUUUCAGUCAAUAGCGCCUUAAAAAGUAACAGCAUUUUGUCCAAAUUGAACUUAUAUAAUUGCACAAAAGUCAAACAAAGCAUUAAGAAAUGCUGGCAAAGACUGCAGUUCUCUCAGCUCCUCAUGAAGCAAACCCCCAAAGGCCUGGAUUUCAGUGGAGACCCCUGACCCGAAUAAUACUGAUGCUCACCCUGAGUUCCUCAGGGACACACAGGUGGAGGUGAGAGCAGCCAGGGAGACUCGCAUGCUUUGUGAUAGUGGAAUUCUGCUCUACCCCUAGGGCUUCGAGAUACAGUCAUUAGAAUUAUUAAGCACUUCAGCUUGAAGUAUAUUUGUUCAGGCUUAAAACGCACCCUUAUCAGCUUACAUUCUGGGAUACAGAUCCCACUUCAGGAAACUAAAAAAAAAAAAAAAAAAUAGAACCACACCAUAAAAACCUCUUCUAAGCGAGGUCCUGUAUGCUGCCACCCCGGCCCUCACGUACUUUCUAACAUACAUACAAAAAUAAGUUACAUGAUCGUUGAUCAUAUGCCAGCUGAGGGAUGGUAGACAGAGUCUAACUCAAAGCCCAGCUCCUGUUUUAUUGACAGCAGUUACUGGAAGGACUCUGAAGUCACAGCUGGGCUGGCGGAAAGCUGCUGUGCUGUGCUUGUGAUCUGA